rnacentral:rRNA from 1 species
GACGAACGCUGGCGGCGUGCCUAAUACAUGCAAGUCGAACGCAUUUUCUUUCACCGUAGCUUGCUACACCGAAAGAAAAUGAGUGGCGAACGGGUGAGUAACACGUGGGUAACCUGCCCAUCAGCGGGGGAUAACACUUGGAAACAGGUGCUAAUACCGCAUAAUUCCAUUUACUGCAUGGUAGAUGGAUGAAAGGCGCUUUUGCGUCACUGAUGGAUGGACCCGCGGUGCAUUAGCUAGUUGGUGGGGUAACGGCCUACCAAGGCUGCGAUGCAUAGCCGACCUGAGAGGGUGAUCGGACACACUGGGACUGAGACACGGCCCAGACUCCUACGGGAGGCAGCAGUAGGGAAUCUUCGGCAAUGGACGCAAGUCUGACCGAGCAACGCCGCGUGAGUGAAGAAGGUUUUCGGAUCGUAAAACUCUGUUGUUAGAAAAGAACAAGGAUGAGAGUGGAAAGUUCAUCCCUUGACGGUAUCUAACCAGAAAGCCACGGCUAACUACGU